rnacentral:rRNA from 1 species
UAACGUCCGUCGUGAAGAGGGAAACAACCCAGACCGCCAGCUAAGGUCCCAAAGUCAUGGUUAAGUGGGAAACGAUGUGGGAAGGCCCAGACAGCCAGGAUGUUGGCUUAGAAGCAGCCAUCAUUUAAAGAAAGCGUAAUAGCUCACUGGUCGAGUCGGCCUGCGCGGAAGAUGUAACGGGGCUAAACCAUGCACCGAAGCUGCGGCAGCGACGCUUAUGCGUUGUUGGGUAGGGGAGCGUUCUGUAAGCCUGUGAAGGUGUGCUGUGAGGCAUGCUGGAGGUAUCAGAAGUGCGAAUGCUGACAUAAGUAACGAUAAAGCGGGUGAAAAGCCCGCUCGCCGGAAGACCAAGGGUUCCUGUCCAACGUU